CCUUCCCGCCGUCUCCCAUCCAUUCAUCCACAUGCCGCAGCGCCCUCGUCCAAAUCUCGGCGUCCCACCCAUGGCCGUCCGCGCGCUGGACAAGGCGCUGCCCGCCAAGCUGCUCUCCACAGCGGCCGCCGUCGCCGUCGUCCGCUCCCCCACCGGGAGCGGAGCCGGCCGUGGCGGACUCACGCGAGGAUCCUGGCCUCAGACGCCGACGCGGGCAGCAUCAUUGGCAAGGCCGGCUCCGACAUCCACGGCAUGGAGGACCGCUCUGGGGCCACAUCAAGCUCUCCAGGAGAGGCCGGCCCCGUCUCCGGCCUUCUCCCGCCCCACCGGCCGCCGCUCCCCGACCUCACGCUCCUCUCCACCGCCCGCUCGGUCGCCGCCCCGUCGCGCCGCCGCUCCGCCCCAAGAUUGGCGACAUUCAUUGUUGCAUGCAUUUUUGGUGGACAAUCUUCAGUUGAACCUGAGUGUUGACUCGAUCUUCCGUUGCGAACAAUGUUCGGCUUACUGAAUAUCGUGAUGUACCGGCUCUGCAAUGGCAUUGCUUUCUGCCACGAACGCGGACCUCGAGCCACACAACCUGCUCAUGGGUGGAUGCGUUGGUAUCCUCUGGUUUGAUCCCAGCAAGAGUGAGCUCCGCGUCCAAUUCCUGGCCGUCCUCCGCAGCAAGGAGCUGGGCCAAGGGAGCAAGCAACGCCGCUGGUUCCUUCGAGGAUGCGUGCUACUGGUCGAGUCUUGUGGAGAAGCAGGGCGGAUCAGGCACCGUCUCACUUGUGCCACUGUGGUGAAUGAGGUUUUAAAAUGUUGAAGGAGGAGGACAAUAGGAACUUCUGUUAUGUCUAUGAAGUUUUCAAAUGUUGAAGGAGGAGGACAAUAGGAACUUCUGUUAUGUCUUAUCGUCUAAAUUUCUGUUCUAACUUUCUUUGUCGUAGAAUAGUUUUGUUUGGCACUUGCUGUUCCUGGAAAGUAAAGAUAUGUAUUGCUAGAAUGAAUGGUUGUAAUAUUAUAACAUUGCACAUUGCUUUGAAAAUGUAUGAGAACCGGGCUAG